UUUGAAGUGUAUACUCCAAAAGGUACAAAAUGGCGUCAAAACAAUUCUUUCUUGUUAUCGUUUGUCUACUUGUAUUACAUCACGCGGUAGAUGCCCAUUUUAGACUGGGACGACGAGAAGAGAUCGAGAAGAUAGCAAGACGUGAACCAGAGGGUUACGAGAGCUACUAUUACCCUGAAGAACGCAUGAAUAACGGCUUUCAAAGAAAAUCCAACUACAAGCGAGGAGCUAAAACUCUGUCAGGGUUUACGAAGACACAUUAUUGAAGAUGCAUCACACUGUAGACACAAAAGUUCAAAUAUUCCAUUCACUACCUGUUUAGUGAACUUGUACAAAGAAUUGCACUAAAUGGUCAUUAUGUUCAANCAGUCACUCUUCUAAAGAGAAUGCACUGUGUUUGUUGCUAAAAUAAAACAUUAAAAACAAA
rnacentral:misc_RNA from 1 species